GAUGGAGCACGCCGCGUGAGUGAAGAAGGCUUUCGGGUCGUAAAACUCUGUUGUUGGAGAAGAAUGGUCGGCAGAGUAACUGUUGUCGGCGUGACGGUAUCCAACCAGAAAGCCACGGCUAACUACGUGCCAGCAGCCGCGGUAAUACGUAGGUGGCAAGCGUUAUCCGGAUUUAUUGGGCGUAAAGCGAGCGCAGGCGGUUUUUUAAGUCUGAUGUGAAAGCCCUCGGCUUAACCGAGGAAGCGCAUCGGAAACUGGGAAACUUGAGUGCAGAAGAGGACAGUGGAACUCCAUGUGUAGCGGUGAAAUGCGUAGAUAUAUGGAAGAACACCAGUGGCGAAGGCGGCUGUCUGGUCUGUAACUGACGCUGAGGCUCGAAAGCAUGGGUAGCGAACAGGAUUAGAUACCCUGGUAGUCCAUGCCGUAAACGAUGAAUGCUAGGUGUUGGAGGGUUUCCGCCCUUCAGUGCCGCAGCUAACGCAUUAAGCAUUCCGCCUGGGGAGUACGACCGCAAGGUUGAAACUCAAAGGAAUUGACGGGGGCCCGCACAAGCGGUGGAGCAUGUGGUUUAAUUCGAAGCAACGCGAAGAACCUUACCAGGUCUUGACAUCUUUUGAUCACCUGAGAGAUCAGGUUUCCCCUUCGGGGGCAAAAUGACAGGUGGUGCAUGGUUGUCGUCAGCUCGUGUCGUGAGAUGUUGGGUUAAGUCCCGCAACGAGCGCAACCCUUAUGACUAGUUGCCAGCAUUUAGUUGGGCACUCUAGUAAGACUGCCGGUGACAAACCGGAGGAAGGUGGGGGAUGACGUCAAAUCAUCAUGCCCCUUAUGACCUGGGCUACACACGUGCUACAAUGGAUGGUACAACGAGUUGCGAGACCGCGAGGUCAAGCUAAUCUCUUAAAGCCAUUCUCAGUUCGGACUGUAGGCUGCACUCGCCUA
rnacentral:rRNA from 2 species